GACGAACGCUGGCGGCGUGCUUAACACAUGCCAGUCGAACGGUGAAGGGGUCUGCUUUUGUGGGCCCUGGAUGAGUGGCGAACGGGUGAGUAACACGUGAGUAACCUGCCCCCUUCUUCUGGAUAACCGCAUGAAAGUGUGGCUAAUACGGGAUAUUCUGGGUCUGUCGCAUGAUGGGUCUGGGAAAGAUUGCGCCUUUGGGUGUUUUUGGUGGUGGAUGGGCUCGCGGCCUAUCAGCUUGUUGGUGGGGUGAUGGCCUACCAAGGCGGUGACGGGUAGCCGGCCUGAGAGGGUGGACGGUCACACUGGGACUGAGACACGGCCCAGACUCCUACGGGAGGCAGAAGUGGGGAAUAUUGCACAAUGGGCGCAAGCCAGAUGCAGCGACGCCGCGUGAGGGAUGGAGGCCUUCGGGUUGUAAACCUCUUUCGCCAGUGAAGCAGGCCUGCUCCGUGUGGGUGGGUUGACGGUAGCUGGAUAAGAAGCGCCGGCUAACUACGUG
rnacentral:rRNA from 1 species